AAUAACACAUUUAUCUGCAGCAGCUGCUACUCUUAUAACUCGUCAUAUGAGUGCCCAGGCAGUUUCACCGUCUGCAGUGCUCCGGGUUCUUGUGUGUCGUCUGUUUCGAUCUCCACUCAGUACUAUUAUAACACUUUCACUCUUCAGAGGUCCUGCUCAGUGCCAACUCCGUACACCUGUAACACGAGUCUCUCCAUCAACUAUGGGCAAGGGAGUGUGACACAGAUCUCAAAGUGCUGCAACUCGGAUUUUUGCAACGCAGAUAAAGUGAACACAACGAACAACUUUAAUGGGCUGGUGUGCUGCGUGGGGACAGAUGGCAUCUGCCAGAACACCGUGAGUUGUACUGGUGUGCAAGACCACUGCUUCACCUCAGGCAAGUGGGAGUGAAGGCUGACUCGUCUGUCAUUUGCUUUCUUCUGUUCUCGCUCAUUCGCAGUACAGCAAACUAAAAGGGUGGCAGGA